rnacentral:rRNA from 1 species
GAUGAACGCUGGCGGCGUGCUUAACACAUGCAAGUCGAACGAAGCACUUUAUUUGAUUUCCUUCGGGACUGAUUAUUUUGUGACUGAGUGGCGGACGGGUGAGUAACGCGUGGGUAACCUGCCUUGUACAGGGGGAUAACAGUUGGAAACGGCUGCUAAUACCGCAUAAGCGCACGGCAUCGCAUGAUGCAGUGUGAAAAACUCCGGUGGUAUAAGAUGGACCCGCGUUGGAUUAGCUAGUUGGUGAGGUAACGGCCCACCAAGGCGACGAUCCAUAGCCGACCUGGGAGGGGGACCGGCCACAUUGGGACUGAGACACGGCCCAAACUCCUACGGGAGGCAGCAGUGGGGAAUAUUGCACAAUGGGCGAAAGCCUGAUGCAGCGACGCCGGGUGAGCGAAGAAGUAUUUCGGUAUGUAAAGCUCUAUCAGCAGGGAAGAUAAUGACGGUACCUGACUAAGAAGCACCGGCUAAAUACGUG